UGGGGAAUAUUGGACAAUGGGCGAAAGCCUGAUCCAGCCAUGCCGCGUGUGUGAAGAAGGCCUUUUGGUUGUAAAGCACUUUAAGUGGGGAGGAAAAGCUUAUGGCUAAUACCCAUAAGCCCUGACGUUACCCACAGAAUAAGCACCGGCUAACUCUGUGCCAGCAGCCGCGGUAAUACAGAGGGUGCAAGCGUUAAUCGGAAUUACUGGGCGUAAAGCGCGCGUAGGUGGUUAUUUAAGUCAGAUGUGAAAGCCCCGGGCUUAACCUGGGAACUGCAUCUGAUACUGGAUAACUAGAGUAGGUGAGAGGGGAGUAGAAUUCCAGGUGUAGCGGUGAAAUGCGUAGAGAUCUGGAGGAAUACCGAUGGCGAAGGCAGCUCCCUGGCAUCAUACUGACACUGAGGUGCGAAAGCGUGGGUAGCAAACAGGAUUAGAUACCCUGGUAGUCCACGCCGUAAACGAUGUCUACCAGUCGUUGGGUCUUUUAAAGACUUAGUGACGCAGUUAACGCAAUAAGUAGACCGCCUGGGGAGUACGGCCGCAAGGUUA
rnacentral:rRNA from 1 species